rnacentral:rRNA from 1 species
AUACGGAGGGAGCUGGCGUUGUUCGGAAUUACUGGGCGUAAAGCGCGCGUAGGCGGCUUGCAAGUAGAGGGUGAAAUCCCAGGGCUUAACCCUGGAACUGCCUCCUAAACUGCAGAGCUAGAAUCCUGGAGAGGUGAGUGGAAUUCCUAGUGUAGAGGUGAAAUUCGUAGAUAUUAGGAAGAACACCAGUGGCGAAGGCGACUCACUGGACAGGUAUUGACGCUAAGGUGCGAAAGCGUGGGGAGCGAACAGGAUUAGAAACCCUAGUAGUCC